rnacentral:rRNA from 1 species
GAUGAACGCUGGCGGCGUGCCUAAUACAUGCAAGUCGAGCGAACGGACGAGAAGCUUGCUUCUCUGAUGUUAGCGGCGGACGGGUGAGUAACACGUGGAUAACCUACCUAUAAGACUGGGAUAACUUCGGGAAACCGGAGCUAAUACCGGAUGAUAUUUUGAACCGCAUGGUUCAAAAGUGAAAGACGGUCUUGCUGUCACUUAUAGAUGGAUCCGCGCUGCAUUAGCUAGUUGGUAAGGUAACGGCUUACCAAGGCAACGAUGCAUAGCCGACCUGAGAGGGUGAUCGGCCACACUGGAACUGAGACACGGUCCAGAGUCCUACGGGAGGCAGCAGUAGGGAAUCUUCCGCAAUGGGCGAAAGCCUGACGGAGCAACGCCGCGUGAGUGAUGAAGGUCUUCGGAUCGUAAAACUCUGUUAUUAGGGAAGAACAUAUGUGUAAGUAACUGUGCACAUCUUGACGGUACCUAAUCAGAAAGCCACGGCUAACUACGUG